CAGUAGCCGCGGUAAAACGGAGGGAGCUAGCGUUGUUCGGAAUCACUGGGCGUAAAGCGCACGUAGGCGGCUAUUCAAGUCAGGGGUGAAAGCCCGGGGCUCAACCCCGGAACUGCCUUUGAAACUAGAUAGCUUGAAUCUUGGAGAGGCGAGUGGAAUUCCGAGUGUAGAGGUGAAAUUCGUAGAUAUUCGGAAGAACACCAGUGGCGAAGGCGACUCGCUGGACAAGUAUUGACGCUGAGGUGCGAAAGCGUGGGGAGCAAACAGGAUUAGAUACCCCUGUAGUCCCUGUCUCUUAUAC
rnacentral:rRNA from 1 species